GCAAAAUCUUGCUGGCAUAUGCAGUAGUGUCUGCGUUUGGUGGCUCAUUAUGGGAUGCAACCCGGGUGGGGCAGUUUCUGAAUGGUCCAUCCUUUAGUCUUAGCUCCAAACUUUUAUGUUUGACCAUGAAGUUAAGAAUGAUAGCUUCAAAGUAAGUCUCAUUUACUGGAGACAAGUAUGCUGUCAGUGAGGUAAAAUGGGAUGCCUCCAGAGAAAGACUUUAAGUUCCGGCCACAUCAUCACACAUCAGUAAAUGAAUGACUUUGGGGGAAAGUCCUUAAAAUUGGUUCUCUAACUUCAAAAACUAGGUGCAAUAGUAGUACUUCUCUCCCUACGUCAUUAUGAUGAUGGAAUUAGAUAAUGCAUAUUCACUUAGAGUGACUGGCAACACAUGCUCAAUAAAUGGUAGCUAUUAUUUUUAUAUAGCUAGUAUAUUUUAUAUUGCUACAAUAAUGUACAUUUUAUAGUAUUUAAAUUUAAAGUAGCCUUAUAUAUUUAUACAAGUGUGUUUCCAGGAAAAAAAAGUAGAGUUCUAGGUUCUUGACUUGGUUUUCCAUUUGGAACUUUAGGACUAUGUCAUGCUUUGAAGCAUCCAACAUUGAUUGUGGCUAAUUCCCUUGUGGGACAACAUUAGCUGUAGAAGUAUUGGUACCCCUUCCCUGUCUUUUCAAGGUCAUGUGACUUAACAUACAAUCCAUGCAGUGUGCUGCUCAUGUACUUUAGUUUGGUUUCUUCACCUAAAUGUCACAAGACAUUCCCAUUUUAUGGAUGAUGACAGUGAAAUUUAGAGAGAUUGAGCAAGAUGCCUGACACUGUUAUGUUCCCAAGCUAUGUGAUGGAAGUGGCAUUCACUUAAUGCAGGGUGAAGGCCCAAGCCAGUUUGACUUCCAGUCUAUUCAUCAAGGGACCUGUUUAAUAAGGUCUGUGACAAUGGUCUCCGUUGUAAUCGUCCAAGUAAAACUCAGGACCGUUAUAAAGAGAAAAUACUAAAUCAGCUCUCUGUUAAUAACAAUGGUUAUUUUCACUCCUAAAAGAUUAAUAAGUGUGAGAAGCUAAAUUUAAACCUACAAUUGGCUAGAGAUUAAACUAAUACAGCUCUGUUUUGGAAGGAAGCUCUUAAAAGGCCAGAACUCAACUUUUCAAGUUAACAGGAUUCAAGCUUUCAAUGCUUUCCUUUCUCCUUCCUUUAACCAAAUUCAACUUUGUAUUUUUCAUCUUGCUGUUGGAGUCCUUCCAGGUCACCUCUGUUAAGAAACACAAGGCCCUUGGCACUGAGCUCUUGGGAAUGUGCCACAUCUGCCUCUGAAUGCCUGCCUGCUUACCUUUGAUGCUGCAGUCAACACCCAACUUAAAACAAAGCAGGGCUUGAAACAGAAAGCUACUCAGAGCACAAUGGGUCCAGCUUACCCACCGGCAGCCUCAGCGAUAAAUAUCAUGUGCAGGAAGACCUGAAACCCCCAAAGCAGUUCAACAUUUCAAGACAGUGCUAACCAAUUUUUGUUCCGGGGACGAGAAAGAACAGUGCUACAUCAGAGAGGAAGAGAGGGAUAAAGGAUGAUGACAGCUAUGCUGAUUCAUUGUUUUUUUAAAUAAUUCUGAAGCAUUCUAACUAUUUUGGUGUCAUGUAGAUACUCUGCAGAGCUGAAGAGAUUUUGUUCCAAUGUGUGUAUGGACUUUUAUUUAUAAUAAGGUUUUCAUUUUGACAUGAUACUCCAAUUUAAAAUGUGGAAUUCUUCUUUGCCUUAGUUCUUUAGAAUUGAGUAUGUAAUUCAUCAUCUUGGUGGUCCCAGGGAAGUAUGCUGGAAUUCUCAACCCACUUUUAAUAGUUACAUAUCUCCCCAUACGGUAACAAUAUUACCACAAUCAAAUCCCCGCUACCAGAGACAUCAAAUAGUUCAAUGUGCCCCACACCCAGGAAAAUUUUCUUGUCUCAGAGAGGUACAUUUCCAUCUCUAGAUUAUCAGAAGAGAAUUAAUGUGAUCCAACCCAAAGUAACGUACAACCCAUUGAUCCAAAGGGGAAAGAGGAGUGUAUGCUCAUAAAGACAGGAAGAGGUAGAUAAACUCAGGCCCAGUUCCCUUUAAAGAUGACCCCUGCUCAAAGCUUGCAGCUCCAGCAGAUCUGUUUGUCUGCUUUAGAACAAUAGCUUCCUUAUUGUAAGAGCCAGAGAGAGUUCUGGGACAAGGAAGUGUUUGCUGCUGAAAAACAAACGGGAAAUGGAAACUAGGAAUGCACUGUGACCUUCAGGUUCCACAGGGUCAACUCCAAGCUAGGGCUGCUGUUUGCUUUCAUGAGCCUUUCAAGUAUCUAUUAGGAAGAGUCCUUGGUGCAUUGUUUCCUUAUGAAUCAACUGAGGACUUAAAGAAAACAAACAAACAAAAACCCAACAACAAAAGCCCCAAAGAAUUCUAGCCCUUUCUGCACUCCUGUUUUCUUACACAAGAAGGGGAGAAUUCAACUACUCAAACUCUAAAGGCAUGCUGCUUUCAGAGGUUCCACUGGGAUGCAGUUUGUUAUGUGAGAUUUUUCUCCAUGCUUCUGUGCCAAAAAUGGAAGCACAGUGGCUAUCAUUCCCUAGGUGCUUUGCUCUUCUAGAGUCGGAGCUAGUUUCCCACAUGGUGUUGAACUAGGCCUUUAGGCCAGGCUUGGGAAUGUGGCCUUUGCGACUCAAUGCUCAAAGGUAUGCUAAUCAUAAAACAGAUAGCGUCAUUCCUCCACCCACCUGCUUCCUGGGUUCAAAGAGUGUUCAUUCAAAGAAAGUCACCCUGACCAUUACUGGAACCUGCAAUGCAAAUGUGCUAUUGUUAGGGGCUCUUAGAAACUGUCUUGAGAGUUAACCAGGUAUUCCUUGUGACACUUGUGACUUUGUACUUCCUUGUGACUCUUAACUGGUAUCUUUGGUAUUUUUUUUCCAACAACACCCUCCCCACUUCCUUGAGUUGUGGUUUCUUCCUUUAAAUACCCCCUUAUCCAGCUACUCGGGGCGCCAUGGUCAUACACCACGCAGGGUGUAUGACCAUGGGCCCGAGAGCGCUCUUGAAUAAAAAAAAUCCUCUUGCAGUUUGCAGCAAGACCGUUUCUUGUGGGUGAUUUUGGGGUGUUGCCUCUCCUGAGUCAGAACGUGGGGGAGUCCUCACGUUGUGGGUCUUUCAGUGUCAAGUCCUAUCAAGGGCCUCUCAUGGAUCUUCAGAGGAAAAGCUCUCUAAAUAACCAAGGGUAAUCCAGCUAAUAAGUAGAAAACUCUAGAAGCACACUCUGAUAGUCUAUCUCAAGAGAUUUUAUUCUUGUUAUCUUAUAAUGUUCAUUGUUCAUCCUGGCUGUGAGGCAGGCAUUGACAGGAGACUUAGAAUGCCACUACUUGCUACAAGAGUUCCCCAAGAUCUGCUGGUUCAGGAAUAUAAACAAGGAAAAUGAGGGCAACUUAUCAGGAUUAAAGGUGUCACAGAAGAACUACCCUUUAAUUGAAGUGUUUACAUUCAUAACUGCUUGGGCUCAUAGAUGCUGCGGAGGAAUUGGUGCUGAUGUAUUUUGAUGUGCGUGUUAAAUUAAAACAAAUAAGGACUGUAAAAAGCAGAAGAGUAAUGGCAGGGGGGGGGCUAGAGGAAACUAGGAGUGGGUAAAUCCAGGAACAAAGGAGGCUGGGGAGCACCAAUGAGAACAAAGAAAGAGUGCUAGGCUAAUUUUCAGAAAGUGGCCUCUCAAGUCCCUGACUUUCUCCAACCCUCCUUUAGCACUGAUCACCAUAUCAGCUAUCACCCAUAUAUAUCCAUGGUUACUAUCUUGGUUUGCUUUCUAUUGCUAUGAUAAACACCAUGACCAAUAACAAUGUGAGAAAGACAUUUUUCCCCCAUCUUAUAGUUCAUAAUCAAUCAUGAAGGGAAGUCAGGGUAGAAACUCAAAUUAAAAACCUGGAGGCAGGCCCUGAAACAGAGACCAAGAAUGAACACCACUUACUUGUGAUCUAUGACUUGCUCAGAUUGCUUUCUUGUACAACCCAGGACUACCUGCCUAGGGCUGGUACUGCCCACAGUAGACUCUCUUUUCAGUCAUUACCAAGAAACUGUCCUACAGACUUGCCUACAGGCAGGUCUGAUGGAGAAAUGUUCUCCCUACAAAUCCUUUUCUCAGACGACUCUAGAUUCUAUCAAAUUGACAACUGUGCAAUACAGCGCAGUUGCUAAGUGAACAAUGAAGUUCAGGGCUCUGGGUGGUACCAGUGCAUCUGAGAUGUGUAAUCCAGUUAGCAGCUGCUGAAAACUAGAUGACCUCAUGUCUGGGAGGCAGGCCCAUUAACUCUUAUGUCUCUCUUAUUUAAGGAGAGGCAAGAAUGUUCUACUUAUGAUUAUGAUUAUACAUGAUGUGAUAGAGCCCUAGGUCUAGUAGAGAACUGAAGUCAGUGUGAUGUUAAAGAUAGCAAGCCCACAAUGGUUUCUUGUGUUGGUGGAGGUAUACCCUAUUAAUGGGCCCUUCC
rnacentral:lncRNA from 1 species